rnacentral:rRNA from 1 species
AUGAACAACCGUUGUCGUUGCCCGAUCGAAGAUCUUGGGUUUUCAUGCUGGAGAAAGUCCGAGUUCACCAAAAGCAAUGCCUUCAACAAGGUGUUUCCAGAAAAAAAUAGCCCAAUAAACAGACCGUCCAUAUCUAAAUUGCGGCCAAUUCCCCGACGCCCACUGCUCCCUCGCACCUGCUCGACCCCGAUAGCCGCCUCCGCGCCUCGCCUCGCCGUCGUUUGCGCUCGGCGCCCCUGCCACCACCCAGCCGCCGAGGAAGCCCCCAGCUCCCGCCUCUUCUCCAGCCCGCCCGCCCGGCCCUCGAUCCAGGCGCAUCUCCCUGCGCGCGCGGCGAGCCCUGUCCCAGCGCGCGGCUGCGCCUUGGCCCUGCCGGAGUCCGGUUGCCUGCGCCCCUGCUGUAGCUCGUCGGGCGGCUGCCUGGCGGCCCUACCCUCGCCCCUUCCAAAUCCAGCUGCGGUGAGAGAAGCUAUGAAGAUAGGGAAUAAGAAGAAGGCAGAUAAUAUGUUGGAUGUAGCUGAAGAGCAGACCCGUGAAGUUGUGUGUAUGCCGGUUGUGAUCGAAGAGCAAAUUGAAGAACUAACAUUGUCUAUGUCAAAUGUGACCAUAGAGCAAACUGAGGAUGUGUCACCGCCAUCACCACCGGUUUAUGAUUUUAGUCAUCUUAAAGAUGGUCUCGGGGACAGGCUACCCAUUGCAAGUUAUCCUAUCAAUGAUCAAGAUGCAAUUCGAAGAGCAUAUAUCCUUAAAAAUCCAUUCAAACCUUAUGCACAUGACUUUAAAAAAAGAACAAUUGGGAUCAGAGAACGUCCAUUCAAUCCUUUGUGGCUUCAUAAUCAUAGUUGGCUUGAAUAUAGUAUCAAGAAGGAAUCUUCAUUUUGCUUUGUAUGUUACUUGUUCAAAGAGAAAAAAACUAGUGGUAAGGGAACUAAUGCAUUUACUGAUGGUGGUUGGAGUAAUUGGAAUAGAGAGGAUGCUUUUCUUAAGCAUGUUGGUUGCAUAUCAAGUGUGCAUAAUGCAGCUCAAGAGAGAUAUAACUUAUUUGUGAAUCCUCAUGCAGCAAUUGAUGAUCUUUUUGUCAAGGUGAACAGUGAGGAUCUACAUCUUUACAAGAUGAGGUUGAAGUAUUCACUUAGAUGCUUGCAGUUUCUUCUUCAUCAAGGAUUGGCAUUUCGUGGGCAUGAUGAAAGUGAACAGUCUAGCAAUAGAGAAAACUUCCUUGAGCUAUUGAAGUGGCUUGCAGCAAAUAGUGAGGAGGCAAAUAAGUAUGUUUUGAAGAAUGCACCAGCCGAUGAGUCUAGUGAUGUAUCACAUAAAGAACAACUAGCUUUAUGCUUGUGUUUUGUUGAUAAAGUAGGGAGGCCGUCUGAGCACUUUCUUGGAGUUGUUCAUGAUAUGAUGGGGCUAGUAAUAUGA